GCGGAUUUAGCUCAGUUGGGAGAGCGCCAGACUGAAGACAAACUUCGGUCACUUUGAUAUCUGGAGGUCCUGUGUUCGAUCCACAGAAUUCGCA
rfam:Lachancea nothofagi CBS 11611 genome assembly, chromosome: G